GACGAACGCUGGCGGCGUGCUUAACACAUGCAAGUCGAACGGUAAGGCCCUUCGGGGUACACGAGUGGCGAACGGGUGAGUAACACGUGGGUGAUCUGCCCUGCACUUCGGGAUAAGCCUGGGAAACUGGGUCUAAUACCGGAUAGGACCACUGCCUGCAUGGGUGGUGGUGGAAAGCUUUUGCGGUGUGGGAUGGGCCCGCGGCCUAUCAGCUUGUUGGUGGGGUGAUGGCCUACCAAGGCGACGACGGGUAGCCGGCCUGAGAGGGUGACCGGCAACAGUGGGCCGGAGAUACGGCCAAGACUCCUACGGGAGGCAGCAGUGGGGAAUAUUGCACAAUGGGCGCAAGCCUGAGGCAGCGACGCCGCGUGAGGGAUGCCGGCCUUCGGGUUGUAAACCUCUUUCAGCACCGACGAAGCGCAAGUGACGGUAGGUGCAGAAGAAGGACCGGCCAACUACGUGCCAGCCGCCGCCGUAA
rnacentral:rRNA from 1 species